rnacentral:rRNA from 1 species
GAAGGUGUGCUGUGAGGCAUGCUGGAGGUAUCAGAAGUGCGAAUGCUGACAUAAGUAACGAUAAAGCGGGUGAAAAGCCCGCUCGCCGGAAGACCAAGGGUUCCUGUCCAACGUUAAUCGGGGCAGGGUGAGUCGACCCCUAAGGCGAGGCCGAAAGGCGUAGUCGAUGGGAAACAGGUUAAUAUUCCUGUACUUGGUGUUACUGCGAAGGGGGGACGGAGAAGGCUAUGUUGGCCGGGCGACGGUUGUCCCGGUUUAAGCGUGUAGGCUGGUUUUCCAGGCAAAUCCGGAAAAUCAAGGCUGAGGCGUGAUGACGAGGCACUACGGUGCUGAAGCAACAAAUGCCCUGCUUCCAGGAAAAGCCUCUAAGCAUCAGGUAACAUCAAAUCGUACCCCAAACCGACACAGGUGGUCAGGUAGAGAAUACCAAGGCGCUUGAGAGAACUCGGGUGAAGGAACUAGGCAAAAUGGUGCCGUAACUUCGGGAGAAGGCACGCUGACACGUAGGUGAAGUGAUUUACUCAUGGAGCUGAAGUCAGUCGAAGAUACCAGCUGGCUGCAACUGUUUAUUAAAAACACAGCACUGUGCAAACACGAAAGUGGACGUAUACGGUGUGACGCCUGCCCGGUGCCGGAAGGUUAAUUGAUGGGGUCAGCGCAAGCGAAGCUCCUGAUCGAAGCCCCGGUAAACGGCGGCCGUAACUAUAACGGUCCUAAGGUAGCGAAAUUCCUUGUCGGGUAAGUUCCGACCUGCACGAAUGGCGUAAUGAUGGCCAGGCUGUCUCCACCCGAGACUCAGUGAAAUUGAACUCGCUGUGAAGAUGCAGUGUACCCGCGGCAAGACGGAAAGACCCCGUGAACCUUUACUAUAGCUUGACACUGAACAUUGAGCCUUGAUGUGUAGGAUAGGUGGGAGGCUUUGAAGUGUGGACGCCAGUCUGCAUGGAGCCGACCUUGAAAUACCACCCUUUAAUGUUUGAUGUUCUAACGUGGACCCGUUACCCGGGUUGCGGACAGUGUCUGGUGGGUAGUUUGACUGGGGCGGUCUCCUCCUAAAGAGUAACGGAGGAGCACGAAGGUUGGCUAAUCCUGGUCGGACAUCAGGAGGUUAGUGCAAUGGCAUAAGCCAGCUUGACUGCGAGCGUGACGGCGCGAGCAGGUGCGAAAGCAGGUCAUAGUGAUCCGGUGGUUCUGAAUGGAAGGGCCAUCGCUCAACGGAUAAAAGGUACUCCGGGGAUAACAGGCUGAUACCGCCCAAGAGUUCAUAUCGACGGCGGUGUUUGGCACCUCGAUGUCGGCUCAUCACAUCCUGGGGCUGAAGUAGGUCCCAAGGGUAUGGCUGUUCGCCAUUUAAAGUGGUACGCGAGCUGGGUUUAGAACGUCGUGAGACAGUUCGGUCCCUAUCUGCCGUGGGCGCUGGAGAACUGAGGGGGGCUGCUCCUAGUACGAGAGGACCGGAGUGGACGCAUCACUGGUGUUCGGGUUGUCAUGCCAAUGGCACUGCCCGGUAGCUAAAUGCGGAAGAGAUAAGUGCUGAAAGCAUCUAAGCACGAAACUUGCCCCGAGAUGAGUUCUCCCUGAGACUUAGAGUCUCCUGAAGGAACGUUGAAGACGACGACGUUGAUAGGCCGGGUGUGUAAGCGCAGCGAUGCGUUGAGCUAACCGGUACUAAUGAACCGUGAGGCUUAACCUU